rnacentral:snRNA from 1 species
AUCACUUCUUGGCCUUUUGGCUAAGAUCAAGUGUAGUAUCUAAUCCAUCCAUCCAUCUGCCCAUCUACCCAUCUUACCUAUGGAAGGCCAUUGUUGCCUGCAGCUAAUACCUGUACCCCUGGCCAGGCCCAAACAAGCUCUGCUGUGUGCAUUGAGU